rnacentral:misc_RNA from 1 species
GAUGAAGAACGUAGCGAAAUGCGAUAAGUAAUGUGAAUUGCAGAAUUCAGUGAAUCAUCGAAUCUUUGAACGCACAUUGCGCCCGCCAGUAUUCUGGCGGGCAUGCCUGUUCGAGCGUCAUUUCAACCAUCAAGCCCCCGGCUUGUGUUGGGGACCUGCGGCUGCCGCAGGCCCUGAAAUGCAGUGGCGGGCUCGCUGUCACUCCGAGCGUGGUAGUUACAUCUCGCUCUGGGCGUGCUGCGGGUUCCGGCCGUUAAAAGCCUUAUUUACCCAAGGUUGACCUCGGAUCAGGUAGGAAGACCCGCUGAACUUAAGCAUAUCAAUAAGCGGAGGA